UCCAAAAAACAAACAACAACAACAACAAAAACCACAGAAAAAGAAAAAAAAAAAUUCAGGUUAUUCUAAAGCAUAGUCCUAGUUAAGAACCAAUGACUAUAGGCUUUUUAUUUCAUGUGUUUUAUUUAGUUUCCAUUACCUGGUAAGUACUUCACAAAGAUAUAUAACUUUGUAUGCUCAUUUGACUAUAUUUGUCAGCCAUCAACAUUCUGCUUAUUCAAAGUAAAUCCAAUUAGCUGUUUUGUUUUACUUAAUUGAAAUAUAAUUAUUCCUAUCCUGGCAGGUCUGUUUUUUACCUUUCUCAUCAACAUGAGAUAAAAAUAUUUACUGACCUACCAGCCAAUAUAUAUAAUACCAACCUCUAGGUCAGGGUCAGCAAACUAGCAUCCAUACCUGUCUUUGUAAAUGAAGUUUUAUUGGAACACCGACACACACUUUCAUAUUUAUGUGUUGUAUGGGUCUGCUUUGGGGCCAUGGCAGCAGAAUUGUGUAGUUGGAACAGAAACUGUAUGGCCAACAAAAACCUAAAUAUUUACUCGUUAGCCCUUUACAGAAAAAUUUUGUUGAACCUUGCACUAGGUGCUUGGAUAUAGUGAUUGAUGAAAAGAAAACUUUCGUCUUUACUAUUUUCAUGGCUAAAUCAGUCUAUGCAAGUAAAAUAUUAGCCACAAAAUGCUGAAUAAUAGGUUAUACGCAUAUGCCUUAAGUAGUUAUUCAAAACAUUUAAAAGAAAACAUUUUAGUCUUUAAAAGUUUUGCACUUUUUUAAAACUUUCAAAAUUAUUUCUAACCAGUACACAUGACAGUAGAAAGCUCUUUGAUUCCUUGCACACAAAUGGAGCAGAAUUUUUCACUUCUCUGGUUAUACAUGGAGUCACACCUUUCAUGCAGUCAGACAUGUACCUAGAAUAAUGCUGUAUGUCUCAUUCCACGAUGUUUUCUACCCUUUUGCCCCUUCCCCCUCCCCUUUGCCCCAUCCAAAGUUCCUCCACUCAUCCCAUGCCCCACCCCAUUAUGGAUUAGCAUCUACUUAUUAGAGAAAACAUUCAGCCCUUGGUUUUUUGAGAUUGGCUUACUUCACUUAGCAUGAUAUUCUCUAACUCCAUCCAUUUACCUGCAAAUGCCAUGAUUUUAUUCUUUUUUAAUGCUGAGUAAUAUUCCAUUGUGUAUAUGUACCACAGUUUCUUUAUCCAUUCAUCUAUUGAAGAGCAUCUAGAUUGGUUCCACAGUUUAGCAACUGUUAAUUGUGUUGCUAUAAACAUUGAAGUGACUGCGUCACUGUAUUAUGCUGUUUUUAAGUCUUUAGGGUUUAGACCCAGGAGUGGGAUAGCUGGGUCAAAUGAUGGUUCCAUUCCAAAUUUUCUAAGGAAUCUCCAUACUGCUUUCAGAUUGGUUGCACCAAUUUGCACUCCACUAGCAAUGUAUGAGUGUGCCUUUUCCCCCACAUCCUUGCCAACAUUAAAGUUUUGCACUUUUAUUAUUCAUAAUUGGUUUACUAACUCCCUCACUAACCAUGAGACAUAAGAGUGAAACUAUAGAAUAAGAUGGGCAUUAAAUGCACAGAAACUUGGUUGGCCAAUAAAAGGAAUUUAGAUGAAUAUGAACCUAUUUUGCUGUAAAGUAAGAAUACUAAAGUAAUAAAGGACCUUUCUCUUCUCAGCCAAUAUUAGGUUUCUUGAGAAAAUCAAACUCCAGUGCCUUCAGACACCAUUUAUAUGCAUCCUAUGCCUCUAAAAUGGUACUGAUAGGAAGUCAUGGGGAAAAGUGACAAAAAUUAUCACAUAGAUCAUUUUAGUUUUCUGGUUGAGUUCAUUUUAUGAGGAAUCCUUGUUGGAGGAAAGCUGGGUUUUAAAGUGUUAGUUGAAGAUGCUACAAAGGAAAAAAAUUAGUAAAAUAUCUAGAAGAUAAAUAAGAAGAUAGCAUUUGCUAAAAUCAGAGAAAAGUCUUAAGGAAAAAAGAAAACCUGUGAUUAGCAUUGCCUUAAACUUUGUGGUUUCUUUGGUCUAGCUUUUACUAGUUUUCAUCAUAGUUUAGGUUUUACUUUCUUAUUUUCUUUCUUAUUAUUUUUGUAUUCUCCAAGUAAUAAGUUUGGUUUAACUCAAAACAAGUACACCUACCCAAAUAAAUAGAUUUUUAAAACUCUGUGUGUGUGUGUGUAAAAUGCUAUAAACUAUAUAUCUUGUCCAACAUUUGGAGAAAUUUUCACCUUAGUCUUUCUCUUACCCUAAAAUAUGAAGUUGGUUUUAUUCAAACGCUGGAGACUUGUGUGCCAAGAUCUCAAGCCAAUGUGAUUUGAAUUUCAACCCAGUUAAAAGGAUCUGAGAAUGAGCACAUGGACUGAGGUCACAUUUGCC
rnacentral:lncRNA from 1 species